UGCGUAGGCGGGUCUUUAAGUCAGGGGUGAAAUCCUGGAGCUCAACUCCAGAACUGCCUUUGAUACUGAAGAUCUUGAGUUCGGGAGAGGUGAGUGGAACUGCGAGUGUAGAGGUGAAAAUUCGUAGAUAUUCGCAAGAACACCAGUGGCGAAGGCGGCUCACUGGCCCGAUACUGACGCUGAGGCAAGACUGGGGAGCAAACA
rnacentral:rRNA from 1 species